UAAACGUUUUCUCUGAGAAACGACAUAGCGUGAAAUUGUUAGGCACUACUGAACAGCAAGCGAACAUAUCAGUAAAAUUAUUGCAACAUGAGUAGAAAAGAGUUUAUCCGUCGAUAAGACAGAAUGUGAACUAGUUUUAUCAUAUCAUAACAUUCGGCGCUUGGUCAGUAUUUUCAUACAUUUGUACGAAUGCAUAAAAAGAAAAAGAUACGUCACUAGAUUUAAUGUAUUAGUCAUUUCAUUGCUCAACUUUUAAACUUUAUAUUUAAUCGUUGUUAUUACUAUAUGUAUAAAAAUUAAUCAUUAUCUCUUUGAAGUCUCAUCAAGGAAGAUAUUACGUUUUAUAUGUAUAUUAAGGAUGAGAAAGCUAAGGUCGCAACAACUAACGUCAUUUCUUUUUCUCUUCGUCUUUCGAGACAAAGAAUGCUAUCGUGCGAAAAGACCAUGAGAACGAAAAAUUACAUUCUGAAAGACAGAAAGCACAUUCCAGAGUUGCAUAAUCAGCUAUGAACAAAAAGCGGAUCGACGAGGAUGGGAUUCGAACCCACGCGUGCAGAGCACAUUGGAUUAGCAGUCCAACGCCUUAACCACUCGGCCACCUCGUCGCUGUUUUACGAAGACUCUUCUUCAAGUAACCUCUUCAAUUAUUAAUUUUUAAUAAAAUAAUUUUUUUUUUUCUUCUUUACUUUUUCUUUUCUUCGAAACAUUAUAUUAUAACUUAAUCUCCAGAGUUUCGAUCUAAAAAAAAAAAAGAA